UGUGACACAUCCCAGGAAACAAUCUGUGAGAUGUUAGACUCCGUUCUUCUCGUUUGGCGUAACGAAAACGGAACAGUGAGGUUUGCAGUAAAAAAAAAAUACUGAGCUCAUCUUUGUGGAACAAAAAUCGCUUGUUAUCACGGUUGUUGCGGGUCCGUAGCAGGAUUGUGUAAAAAAUCGCGUGUUUGUGCCGAUCCGGAACUGAGAUAUCCGGAGCAACGAGUCCAAAACUUCUCCCAAGCGAAUAAACAUCAUGCGUUGCUGUGGAGAAGUUAUUCAACGACAAACAUAUUCCUGCUGUGUCCAGUGCCUGGCAGUUCACUUCGGCCGCAGUACCAUUGGCAUUUUGUGCUAUGAAAAUUGUCGGUGCUCGAUUCCGGCUUUCCAUUUUUGCCGCUUUUUCCUAGUGCUAACGAACAGGUUAACGACUUUCCCACCUGGACGAUGGUAUUUGCUAAAUAUUAAAAUAAACAAAUAAUUUGUUAGGCACGCAACGGCAAAGCAAAUUAAAAAAGCUCCGGUUCCAAUUAAUUUAUCUGAUUCGCAAUUGUGACGCGAUGGUGCCCAGGAGUCAAUAAGCACACAGUCGACAAUAUGGGGACCAUAUGCAAAUGUACCGGGAUUGGAUUGUCGUUAAAUUGAAAGGUGCCAAAAAGGCAUUAGCAGAAUUUUGCCAAUCAAGUUUUUUACGGGAAUGUGCAUCUGCAUUUCUUCUGGUUCAUAGGAGGACCGCUCCGGAAACUGUCCGAACCAAAAGAGAACCUUUUAAGCCGGCUGGUACGGACGUUCGUCAAGCAGCUCCGUCAGCGCUGAUAAUAUCCUUCCUUCUGUAGCUUCUGUAGCUACGACAGAAGCGCAAGCAUCUCGACGAAAAGCGUUAAUGCACCGAAGAGAAAAACGCUCCCCAAGAAGCGAAACAUCGGCCAUCGGCUGAGGAAUGAAUUUGAAGCCAAUCCGUACUGGUUCAAAUCUCAAAUGCGCCUUUAGCUCAACAACAUCGUCGAUGAGAUACGUUACAAGAGACCGGCGUCGGUCGAGAUACCUGGCUCGGACAAGAUAGGACAGUACACAUCCAGGAUUAUCCACUGCUAAGCUCAGCGGCUCGCCAUCUCUACGAUGUGGCGGAAUAAACCAGUUUAGUCAAGUCUGGCGAGUUUAAACUCGACUGCGAAGGCAAUGAAGACGUACGUAUGGGCGAUGGACUCGGAUCUAUCACCAAGUGAUACCGAUUCGGCUACGUUCAUUAAAAGCUUGGUCUCGAAGAAGCCUUUGCUGGAGUAGUUCACCAGACCCGGUGGCCGGUUGCCUGAAAUUGUGCAAACUCACAAGGACACGUCGGUCGCCAAGCAGGGAAACAGUGGCCGGCCGAUUAUGCUUCAGACCAAUUACUUCCAGUUGUUUCUGAAUGAAGAUGAACGCAUUUUCCAAUAUCGAGUUGACUUCAAUCUCACGAUUGAAACAAGCAAAAUAGUAGACUUUUAUUCCAAAUCAAACCACAAGUGUGGAGUGUACGUAUUCGAUAGAACGCAGAAGAACAAAUUAAUCUGAACGGCAUUUCAUCCACCUUAUGCUACGUUUUGACAGGGCAAGUGAAUUGAACAACUCAGUUGAAUUCAAUUGACUUGCCAAAAGUUGAACUUGUUCAACUUUCUUUUCGUUCAAGUGAAUUGAAUGGACGUGUUUAGACUUUCAAUUCGCGUUCAAUUCAAUCGACUUGCUCAAUUCACUUGCCUGUCAAAACGUGGCAUUAUAGCUGUAUGCGAGCGAUUGCCGAUCAUACUCGCCAAAAUCCGGACAAAGUAUCCAACAUUUGGAAACAUUCAAUCGGCGCAUGCAACAGUCGAAUGAGAGUUCCGAUGUGUUCAUGUUUUGGAAAAUUCAACCUGACAGUUGCUUGGAGGUUCCGGCACACGUCCUUCAGCCAGAAACUGUUUUCUUUCAUCCAGAGCAGGAGGCUUGCAAGGUCGAGAGCAAGGAACUGGCGGGAGAAAUUGCCGAAUAACGAAUGGUGUUCCACAAUAACCCGAUGUACUUAACGGUUGCGCUGACCAACUGGUUCGUGGAAGUACCCGGCGGAUAGGGACGGUUUAUCGUUGAUUUCAUGUCCUGCUUGAAACAGGCCGCAUCCAAAAUGUAUUUCCAUAUUGAGGAACCAAGGCGUGUCUCGAUUCCCAACGAUCCGCUGCUGAUCAGGUGUUUGGUAACGAACGAAAAGGCUGACCGUUACUCGCCAUCAAGAACAAAUGCUGCGUAGACCGGUCCGUGCCUAGCAAAAACAUGAGCACCGAAAAACAUUGAAUCAGCGAAAACGAAGAGUGAACCGUAUCCAGUGGUACGGACGCUCAGCAGUACUUUCCAGAUUCUAUGAAAUUGAAGGCUCAGUACGUAUCGAAAAAAUACGAAGAACUUUACCAGCGUUAGGACUGAUAAAAUGGGUGAUAAACAGCAGAUACCGAAGCAACCAAUUAAGUGCCGUAUUAAAGCAAUUUCCUCCUACGGGGGAAAGAGCUCGGUCGGAACCGGCAACUAUACCACCUCGUCCGGUUCCUUGUUCGAUUAGCCCGAUGUCGCUGCAUCCGGAACUUAGGAAUAAUACCAAUACAACUGGAGAUCCUGCUACUGCCAAUCCAGGGCGGUCAGAUUAUGAAGGAUGAAAGGACGAGGAUGAAACUUGAAUGAACCCACCGAAAACGUUCCAUCGGAUGAGCAGUGACAAUUUUUUUUCGCAGCUACACCGAGCACCCCUGCGUCAACAAUAAGUACUACAAUCUGCAGGAUAUUUACCGGAGUUUUAGUGAAAUCUGCGAGUGCAACCACAGCUGCCAAAACCCGCCGUCGCUCAACAUCAGUUCCAGUAUUAACAACAACAGCAGCAAUAUUCUGCCACAAUUCGUUCCGGUUAGCCCGACUCCGAGAACAUCCAGCACAGUUGCUUUCAGUAGGAGAACUCUAUCGGAUUUGGCGCCAUACUCACGAAGAAAAGAACAACUCUAGCCUUAACUUCAGCGUCGCGAUCCACAAGCUAGAUAUGGAACGGAUACAGCACAGGAUACAGUUAAUCUGCACCAGUGCCGAUGUUUUGUAGAUAAUUCCGAAAAGGUUGAUUAUACGCGUUUCAUGUAAUUUAAUGUAUUCAAUUUAUUUUGGUUAAUAAAGAUAUAGAAUUUU